CCUGGUUCUAGUGGUGCCUACCUGUGGCACCAGCUACUUGGGAGGCUGAGAUGGGAGGAUUGCUUGAGCCCAGGAGUUUGGGCCCCACCUGGGCAGCAUAGCUUCCAUCUCUU
rnacentral:sRNA from 1 species